rnacentral:rRNA from 1 species
AUUGAACGCUGGCGGCAGGCCUAACACAUGCAAGUCGAACGAGUGGCGGACGGGUGAGUAAUGUCUGGGCAACUGCCCGAUGGAGGGGGAUAACUACUGUAAACGGUAGCUAAUACCGCAUACCAUCGGAUGUGCCCUGAUGGGAUUAGCUAGUAGGUGGGGUAACGGCGCAACUAGGCGACGAUGCCUAGUUGGUCUGAGAGGAUGACCGGCCACACUGGAACGGAGACACGGGCCAGACUCCUACGGGAGGCAGCAGUGGGGAAUAUUGCACAAUGGGCGCAAGCCUGAUGCAGCCAUGCCGCGUGUAUGAAGAAGGCCUUCGGGUUGUAAAGUGCGUGCAGCGAGGAGGCGUUACUCGCAGAAGAAGCAACGGCUAACUCCGUGCCAGCCGACGCGGUAAUUC